UAUCAAAUUAGCAAAAGUUAAUGCAAUUGACUUAGGAUCAAUAGAUAUAGGUGAAAUUCCUUUAUUUGAUAGC
rnacentral:tRNA from 1 species